UAGUAUUAUGGUUACAGACUUCCAAGAUACAACAUUAGUACAAAAAAUACUCUUUUCUAGUCUUAUGCCUUGCCCAUAGAUGUAGCUUUUGUUAUUUUUUUUUUUUUUUCAAAGAUCAGAAAUCUCCCACAUCUUAAACUUUUUAUUAUGUUUUUUUUUUUUAUUUUUUAUUAUAAUUUGUUGUAAAUUAUGUUUGUUAAAUUGAAUUAACGAAAAGAGUAAUUUAAUAGAGUAAAAAAUUAGAAAACAAUAAUAAUUAUGUAAAAUAAAAUUUUCUUAAUUUAUAAAUAUUUUAAUUGUCUUAUAUUUUUUGAAAGGUAAUUAGGAAAAUUUAGUUUCAUCACAUUUUUCCUAUUUAUAAAAUAUUUUUUAAGUUUUAAAACAUCAUUUUGACCUUAAAUUUAAAAUUAGAUAAAAUAAAUCGUUACAUGAUCUAUUUUUUGUUUUUAGUUAUCAAAUAAAGUAAAAAUUGAUAACUUAAUAAAAAAAUUUUUAACCUAAUAGUUAUUAUAUUAAUAAUUCAGCUUUUUACUAAUUACUAGUUUACUAGUGGAAUUUGUAGAAAAAAUUUAUUUUAAUCCAUAAACUGAGAAAAUGCUUAAAAAAUUAAAUAGUCAAUUUGUACUGUAUGGAUCUCUAUUAGUGAUGUUGUGAUGUAUAUGAAAGUAGAGCAAGUCUUUUCCACCUUUAAAAUUACAAUGUUAAUUUCUUAUAGUUAUAAAUGAAAAUAAAAUCAAGUUACAAAAAAUAAUGAAAAUAUCUUUUUAAAGAUAAAGGAAUAUAUUUUUUUGUAAUAAAAUAUCUAAUAUUUAUAAUUUUGCUUAUUUAAAUAUAAAAAUAAAUUAAACAUUACUUAUUAUUUUUAAUCAAAUAUUAUAUUUUAUUUUUACGUAAUAAAUAUUUAAAAUUAGAAGGACUAUUUAGUACUUAUUAUUCAAUAUUUACUAAAUUACUAAUUAUAAUAUUAUUCUUGUCAUUUUUUUUAGAAAGGUUGUAACUUUGUAUUUUUUCUAUGUUUUGUGUAGAGAUCAUCAAAUUAAGUCUAUCAAUAUGUCACGUGAUAGAGGAAAUGAGAACUUAUCUAGUGAGGAUAUUGGAUGGCAUUUUGGUACUGCGGUGGACGGUAAUAGACAUGUUAUUAUGUGUAAGUUAUGUGGGAAGAUAAUUAAAGAGGGCAUUACACGCUUGAAACAAUACUUGGCACAUAAAAAGGUCAAGUAGCUGGAUGCUCAAAUGUGACCACACAAGUCAGAGAACAAAUGAUGAAACAUCUACAACAGUAUGUUGAGAAGAAAAGAGAUAAACAAAAAAGGCAAGAAGAAGCAGAAGCCCAAAUUAGAGGAGAUUUUGAGAAUUUGAGCGAUAAAGAAGACUUGGAAGAAGAAAGUAUGAGAUUUGCUCGACAAGGAAGCAUACGAUCAUAGCAACAAUGGGAAGAGAGACAAAAAUUUCGAGCAAGAACAUCUAGAGGGGGUAAUAUUUAUGAAGAGGGAGGUGGCUCUGGCAAUGGUGCUACCAGUGGUUUCAAUAAAACAGGAGCUCGAUUUUAUAGUGGUCGAGAAGUUGGAGGUAGUGGACGACAAUGGAUCAGCCCCUGAAGCUAAACUAAAGGCAAUGGAUCCUAUUUUAGAAAGAAGCAAAAGUGUGAAACAACCAAAAAUCAACACAAAGUUACUGAAAGGUUUAAGAAGUAAAUUAGGAAAAGCAGUUGGAAAAUUCCUAAUUUAUAAUCGGAUUCCAGCGAAUGUAGCUGACUCUCCAUUUAUGCAGCCUAUGCUUGAUAUUGCUGCAGAGAUUGGAAAGGGGGUGAAGGGUCCAUCACCCUAUGAGAUAUUUGAAAUUUAUUUGGAGCAAGAGCAUCAAGAAAUGAAAAAUUAUAUAGCUUCUUUUGCUAGAAUUUAGAAAGAGAGAGGUGUAACCCUUAUAUGUGAUGGUUGGUCAGGAUCAACUAGAAAACACAUUAGAAACUUUUUAGUUUAUUGCGAUAGAGGCACCGUGUUUCAUAAAUCAGUUGAUGCCUCUGAUGUGCCAAGCAGAACAACUGAAUAUUAUUUCAGAUUAAUGGACGAGGUGGUUGAAGAAAUUGGAGAGGAGAAUGUUGUCCAAAUAGUGACUGAUAAUGAAGCUGCAAUGAAGGCAGGAGGAAAAUUAUUAAAGCAGAAGAGGCCCAAUCUCUAUUAGACAGCAUGUGCAGCUCAUUGCAUAUACCUUAUUCUUGAAGAUAUUGGUAAGAAAAGUAACGUGAAGAAGGUCUUAAAAGAUGCAAAAACAAUAAGCUCAUUUAUUUACAACCACACAUGGACAGUGAAUUUCAUGAAGAAAUUCACAAAUAAUAGAGAGUUAUUUCGCCUUGCCAUCACUUGAUUUGCCACAAAUUUCAUUGCUUUGGAGACUAUUGUCAGGCAUAAAUAAGCACUAAGGGAAAUGUUUACAUCUGAUGCUUGGAAAAACUCAAGGUUUGGAAUGGCAAAAUCAGGUCCAGCAUAUGAUUCAAAGAAAAUUAUCUUAAGCAAAGAGUUUUGGUUAAAGGCUUUUGAUAUAAUUAAAGUGCAAGAACCCUUAGUGAAAGUUCUUAAAUUGGUUGAUGGUGAUGAAAAACCAACCUUGAGCUUCAUAUACGAGGCAAUUGAUAGGGCGAAGUUGGCCAUUCAAAAAGAUUGCCGGUUUUACAAAGACUAUUGGAAAAUUAUUGACAACCGGUGGAGUUUUCAGUUGCACCAAAAUUUGCACGCUGCUGGGUAUUUUUUGAACCCACAAUUUCUUUAUGGUGCCCCACCCUCUCUUGAAGUUGAUAGAGAAGUCAUGGAUGGAGUUAAAUAAAGUGAUAACCAAGUUGGUACCCGAUAUAAAUACUCAAAUUCGGGCUAUUAAUCAA